CCUACGGGAGGCUGCAGUGAGGAAUAUUGGUCAAUGGACGCAAGCCUGAACCAGCCAAGUCGCGUGAAGGAUGACGGCCCUACGGGUUGUAAACUGCUUUUAUAAAAGGAUAAACUUGAGCACGUGUACCUAGUUGUAUGUACUUUAUGAAUAAGGAUCGGCUAACUCCGUGCCAGCAGCCGCGGUAAUACGGAGGAUCCAAGCGUUAUCCGGAUUUAUUGGGUUUAAAGGGAGCGUAGGUGGAUUGUUAAGUUAGUUGUGAAAUGUUGAGGCUCAACUGGAAAAUUGCAAUUGAUACUGUCAGUCUUGAGUAUAGUUGCGGUAGGCGGAAUGUGUGGUGUAGCGGUGAAAUGCUUAGAGAUCACGAAGAACUCCGAUUGCGAAGGCAGCUUACCAAACUGUAACUGACGUUGAUGCACGAAAGUGUGGGUAGCAAACAGGAUUAGAUACCCGAGUAGUC
rnacentral:rRNA from 1 species